rnacentral:lncRNA from 1 species
UCUCAUCGUGCGACGCGAAUUAAUUGCACCCAUCCCGUAAUAUCGGGAACGGAACUUGAGCGCCAUAAGUUUGAGGAAUUCACGAGAAUCGACGUUACCUCGUUAUCUUUAUGCUGUUCUGGUUUUGUCGGAAUUCAUCCCACUUAGACUACUUGACGUUUUUGUCCGAUCGGCCGAGCUUUUUCACCCCGUCACGGUCUAACAGACCGCUGCUACCAGCCCCGCCUUUACCCCCGAUAAGUUCACCGACCCACGUGUUCGCAUGUGUCGCCUAUAAAAGCUCACUUAGCAUCAACAUGUACGGCAAUGUUCCUCUGUGAUGGCUGAUGGAAAGUCGCUGCUCGGAAUCUCGGUGGCCUCCGUCAUCUACGAGGGGACAUUUCACGAUCAUCGACCUAACUAGGGGAUAGAAGGGUCGAGAAACACCACAGGCGACAACGAUGGAUUCUUCGAUUAAAAUUUCAUCAACAUCAUCAUCUUCGGGUUUCUCAGUCUACAAAAUUGGUAUUGGUUUCUACAGUGGCCGUUAUGAGCGUGCACCACAAAACCACGACGCCACGGAUGGCGUCACACGGUGGCCAUCAACUUUCUGGUAAGAAACUUCCAUAUUUAUGUUGUUUUGUUUGGAGUCAAGUUGCCGGAGAUAUCGAGGAUAUGUUCGUAUUUCCCAUUUUUGGGAUGGAGAAAUUAGACUACGACACGAACGAAACAAACACGUUUCUCAAUUUCCGCGGGUGGUACACGGGCGAAGCGAAUCGCGAUGUGAAUAACGAUCAAGCCAAGGAGAACACAGAACGUACGCGUAAGAUUUAUUUUCCCGUUUCUAGACCGAUUUUCUGACCCCGGAACACGCCGUUACGUACCACACAUAUAUAUAUCCCGCUCGUCCUGUUGAAAAAUAACUCGUUAUUUUUCCAACUGGCGAACGACCCUCCACGAGAUCGUGUUUCGGGUCGAUGUUUAAAUAUCUACGGAUCUACGAUCACGUUCGAUCCAUAUCCCUUCGAUGUGGACGUGUCAUCCAUACGAAAAUCAUCUUUUGAACGUAACGAAUCUUCUGGUUCUCUAUUGCCUCUGCACGAUUUUUGUAUUCUUAGGACAUUCAGUACACCAUCGAGGGCGUAAAAGCAGCAGCGCGUCGAAGGAUCCAUCGAUCGGCCUUCCUCGAUCUCCGGCAACUUACGAGACACUAACGACCCAGCCACAACCAUAUCUACCUCGUUAUCGGCCACACCUUUCGUCGUUCUUGUCCGUAACAACGCUGGGCUUCGCGAAAACAAUUCGACCUUCUUGCUUUAUGCCAGAGCGAGGUCGAUUCGCUGGAAUGUCCACGGUAGUCAACCAUCUGUCCAACUUAUAAUUCCUGUUCGAGACAGCUUAACUGAUUUACCGCAAUUUGCCGCGUUCGUUGAUGAAAUACAGGCCAGGGUGUCUCACGGGCGGGUGGAGAGGGUGGAGUUACGUGUUGAUGCUUCCUCUAGUAGAUUUCUUUGUCUUUGUAACUUGUAUAUUGUGUAUAUAGCGUGGGGUGCUAAUCUUCGUCGUAUGAAAUGUAAAAACAAUUGAGGAUCUUGUGGUUCACUCUUGUAUUAUAUAUCUUUUUAUUGAAACUGUUUAAAAAUAAACGUAUACUUAUGAGCAAAAC